GGCCAAGGGUUGGGGUUUCAGAAAGCAGUGCUCUUGGGACAUCUCCACCAUGGCCUGGGCUAUUGCCCUCCUCACCCUUCUCAUUUGGGACACCGGUUCUUGGGCCCAGUCUGCCCUGACUCAGCCUCCCUCAGUGGCAGGGACUCUGGGAAAUACCAUCACCAUCUCCUGUGCUGGAAGCAGCAGUAACAUUGAGAGUUAUAAUUUUGUUUUCUGGUAUCAGCAGCUCUCAGGCACACCCCCCAAGCUCCUGAUUUAUAAUGUAAAUACUCGGCCAUCAGGGAUCCCUGAUCAUUUCUCUGGCUCCAAGUCUGGAAACAUAGCCUCCCUGACCAUAUCUGGGCUUCUGGCUGAGGAUGAGGCUGAUUAUUACUGUUGCUCAUAUACAACCAGUGGUACUUUCCACAGUGGUCCAUGUUCAUGGGGGAACUGA